AGUGAACGCUGGCGGUAGCCCUAACACAUGCAAGUCGAACGGCAGCACAGUAAGAGCUUGCUCUUACGGGUGGCGAGUGGCGGACGGGUGAGGAAUACAUCGGAAUCUACUUUUUCGUGGGGGAUAACGUAGGGAAACUUACGCUAAUACCGCAUACGACCUACGGGUGAAAGCAGGGGAUCUUCGGACCUUGCGCGAUUGAAUGAGCCGAUGUCGGAUUAGCUAGUUGGCGGGGUAAAGGCCCACCAAGGCGACGAUCCGUAGCUGGUCUGGGAGGAUGAUCAGCCACACUGGAACUGAGACACGGUCCAGACUCCUACGGGAGGCAGCAGUGGGGAAUAGUGGACAAUGGGCGCAAGCCUGAUCCAGCCAUACCGCGUGGGUGAAGAAGGCCUUCGGGUUGUAAAGCCCUUUUGUUGGGAAAGAAAAGCAGCAGGUUAAUACCCCGCUGUUCUGACGGUACCCAAAGAAUAAGCACCGGCUAACUUCGUG
rnacentral:rRNA from 1 species